rnacentral:rRNA from 1 species
UGGGGAAUAUUGCACAAUGGGCGCAAGCCUGAUGCAGCCAUGCCGCGUGUGUGAAGAAGGCCUUCGGGUUGUAAAGCACUUUCAGCGGGGAGGAAGGCGGUGAGGUUAAUAACCUCACCGAUUGACGUUACCCGCAGAAGAAGCACCGGCUAACUCCGUGCCAGCAGCCGCGGUAAUACGGAGGGUGCAAGCGUUAAUCGGAAUUACUGGGCGUAAAUCGCACGCAGGCGGUCUGUCAAGUCGGAUGUGAAAUCCCCGGGCUCAACCUGGGAACUGCAUUCGAAACUGGCAGGCUAGAGUCUUGUAGAGGGGGGUAGAAUUCCAGGUGUAGCGGUGAAAUGCGUAGAGAUCUGGAGGAAUACCGGUGGCGAAGGCGGCCCCCUGGACAAAGACUGACGCUCAGGUGCGAAAGCGUGGGGAGCAAACAGG